UGAUAAUGUAGAAGACUGAACAUAAAUCGUUGACACUUAAAAUUUCAAAAAUAUUGCAUGCCAUUAAUUAUGGUCGUAAGUAAAAAAAAUGGCAAACAGAUCUUUGGGACUGAACCACAUGCGAACAAAAUAUUUCACCACAUUAAAAAUUAUGGGAAGGAGACGGCAUGUUUAAAAAAUGUUUGAAGACUUAGUUACUUAGCUUGAAUUCGUGUUCUGCUUGAUGACAGUUAUAGAAUUCCUGGUAAAGAUAUACAAGGCAUUGUUUGUCUUUUGCUGGUAUUAUGGUUUAUUUGAUUUACUAUUGCCAGCUUGUUUUCGACUUAUGAAUUUAAUUCCAUUGACAUCGUUUGCCUGUCUUGGCAACGAAAUGUUCAAUUAUCUCGUUACAUUGAUUGUCAAAGAACCAAAGCUCCAUCCCCACAUUGAAAAAAAUCUAUUCCUUGUUUUUCAAUUUCCAUCACAGAUAUCUAAGGGAACUACCAUUUGAUUUUUAGGGGGGGGGCUAGGAUGAAA
rnacentral:lncRNA from 1 species